rnacentral:lncRNA from 1 species
CAACGCAUCAGCAGUUUGGGUUUGGUCCUGCGGAGCGCUGAUGAGACGGAGCAGCUACCAACACAAGCCAUUUUACACGUGGUGUUCAUUUUGGAACACUAAAAAUCCAUGAGGAAGAAAGAAAACUCUACUCCGAAGAGAAGCUCAGUAGGUCGUGUGCACUCCGUAAAAAGCCAGAUGUCAUCGGACUGGGCUUGCUUGCUGCUGCUCCAGAACACAGAACCAGAACCAAACUGGGGAGUCUGCAUCAACCCUGCUACCCUCUUCCAUGCUGAAACUGUGGCAAAAGCAAGGAAAAAUGCCUGGUUUGCUCUGGUCUGAAGCCCCUUAUGAAAGGGAAUGAGACUAUGGCUAAGCAAAGUCUCCUGUUUUCCCCUGAUGAAACAUUUCAUGAAUGUUCCUAUGGUUAUUCCAAUGCUUGUGGAUAUUUCAUUUCUUUUUUCCUCCUGCUACUCAGACACUGGAUUGAACCUUACACCAAAUACAAGCGUUUUCACCAAAAAUAAACAAACAGACGAAUUUUAAAAUCCUGUUAUUUCUCCCUGUUCGAGAGCCUCAGAAACUCACCUACACUGAGAUGACAGAUGCCACUUGUCAUCGGCAGUCUGGCCACUCCGAGCAGGUCUAAUCAGGGUCAUAGAAACACGAGUGCCCUCAUUAGAGGUGACACUUUUGCAGUACCAGCCCUGCUGCACCAGCAGUAAUGAUGAAAGAUUCACUGUGCCAUCAGGUAGAAGCACCCACGUGGAGCCUCACCAGGAUUUCCCGGUUACUCACCUGCAGCUUUACUCAGCUGUAUCCCAUCCCUCUCUGGUACCUCUCCUUGCCGAAUCGCGUUUGGGAAACCUCUGCCAGCUCAUGCAGGAGGCUUAUGAGCAGGGAGACACUGGCCUGAUCCAUCUUCAGCCUGAACAGUGCAGAAAAAGCUUUGCUUUGUAUUAUGUGUGGCACCUGGAAACGCAACAAGCUGCUUCGCUCCAUGGUCUCCUAUGCUCCAUCCUCUGGAGGCCCUGCUCACCUCAUCCUGUGCAGUCAGCCCUAGGAUGGAGGAGGAUGGCACUGUCAGCACGAGAGGGCUGUGCCCUUACAAGACAAAGCCUUCAACACCAAACCUUAAACCCAAGCCAUUCAGCUCUCCGCAGGUGCUUUCGGAUGCUUGUGACUCCACGGAGCUGCCACAUCAGGCUGUGA